rnacentral:rRNA from 1 species
GAUGAACGCUAGCGGCAGGCCUAACACAUGCAAGUCGAGGGGUAGAAGGAGCUUGCUCCUUUGAGACCGGCGCACGGGUGCGUAACGCGUAUGCAAUCUACCUUUUACAGAGGGAUAGCCCAGAGAAAUUUGGAUUAAUACCUCAUAGUAUAUAUCAUUCGCAUGUUUGGUAUAUUAAAGUUCCAACGGUAAAAGAUGAGCAUGCGUCCCAUUAGUUAGUUGGUAAGGUAACGGCUUACCAAGACGAUGAUGGGUAGGGGUCCUGAGAGGGAGAUCCCCCACACUGGUACUGAGACACGGACCAGACUCCUACGGGAGGCAGCUGUGAGGAAUCUUGGUCAAUGGACGCAAGUCUGAACCAGCCAUGCCGCGUGCAGGAAGACGGUCCUAUGGAUUGUAAACUGCUUUUGUACGGGAAGAAACACUCCUACGUGUAGGAGCCUGACGGUACCGUAAGAAUAAGGAUCGGCUAACUCCGUGCCAGCCGCCGCCGUAACAC